ACAUCGGUAGUAUCGCUUCGGUCUUUUUUCGGCUGUGUCGCUCAGGCUGCACUGCCGAUAACCUCUCACACCUGUGCACCUUUUCGGUUGCGGCUUCGGCCGCUUCCGCUUUUACAUGCAACCACGAAAAGUCUAGAAUGUGACGAGAACUAUAAAGUAACAACUUUCAACAACGGAUCUCUUGGCUCUCGCAUCGAUGAAGAACGCAGCGAAAUGCGAUAAGUAAUGUGAAUUGCAGAAUUCAGUGAAUCAUCGAAUCUUUGAACGCACCUUGCGCUCCUUGGUAUUCCAUGGAGCAUGCCUGUUUGAGUGUCACGUAAACCCUCACCCCUGCGAUGUAACAGUCGCCUGCGGUGGACUUGGACCGUGCCGGUAAUCGGCUCGUCUUGAAAUGCAUUAGCUGGCGCUUUUAGAGUGCUGGGCGAACGGUGUGAUAAUUAUCUGCGCCGACUGCCCUGGGCCUCUUCAGCGGCGCUGCUUACAGCCGUCCCUUGUGGACAACUAUUUUAAAGCUUUGGCCUCAAAUCAGGUAGGACUACCCGCUGAACUUAAGCAUAUCAAUAAGCGGAGGA
rnacentral:rRNA from 1 species